UCCGACUCAGAUCUUCUCCUCUGCUCCCAUUGCCUUCUCCACUGCUCCUAUUGUUGCUGCUUUUCAUAUAUCUAGUUCAAGGAUUGGCUGGAGAAGACGAAGAAGGAUUGACAAAUAAACGAUUGGCUUUUCGUAUUUAUGGAUCUGAUGGUGAUGUGCAGGUGAGGAAGAAGCUUUAUGUGCCGCAAGUAGAGGACAAGAAUAGUCACAUGAGAAUGCUCAACAUCUCGUGUUGAUGAUCUGGUUGCGAAUUCGAUGGAUAUUUUAAAAGCGGCUGCGGUGGAUGCCAAUGGAAAUGAAUGCGAAGACGUUUUACAGGCAAGGUGAUGAAGUUGAUUUGUUCCUCUAACCAGCAAAUCAUGCUCAAGUGAGGGAGGCAGAUCAAGCAGAAACACAAGCAAUGCAACUUGCAGAGUGAGUUGAUGGCUGCGAAGUCUACUGGAGCUCAGCAAUGAGGAGUUAGAGAUAGUCAAAGCUGGUGCAGCUCAGCAAAAUGAAGAAUUAGAGGCAGUGAAGGCUAAAGCCGCUGCACAAAAUGAAGAGUUGGAGGCACUAAAGGCAAGACAAAAUCAUACCGACAUACUUUUACUUAAAUUGAUGGUGCCGUUAUCCUCCCAAAACUAAUGAUUGGUCUAAGCUUAAAAAAAGUACAUCUUGCAAACUAUCAUUGAAGGCCGCCUUAUUGAACUUCUAGAAAGACUUGAAUGAAUGUGAGCAGUUAGAAGGAAUGAGGACAACAAAUGAAAUGGAAUAUGGAAGAGAAAUUUCAAACCAACCAAAGCAACAUCUUGAUCAGCCUUGUCUUCACAACAUCAACAAGGCAUCCUAACGGAGACAGAGAUAGCCCUGGCCAAUGCGCCACAAAUCUUGUGGUGGAUGGGCUCCUCAAGUACUGAAAGGAAAAAUAGAGGAAGACCAUUGUCGCCAAAGAGACCACUAGCAGCCUAGCUGUACAAGAAUCAGAACCAGAAAGAGGUAGUUCCUGUAGCAUAAGAUGAAUACAACUCGUUACGGUAUAUGUAUUUUCCACAUAUCUCAUAACUUAUAAAUACUCUCUGCUAUAGAGUAUAAACUAAUAAUCCUUGACAAAAGAUAAAAAAUAAAGUAAAAACUAAUCACAACUUGAAUUAAUGUCAUCACAUUGUUAUUGUUACUAUGUUGGUUGUAGCAUGAUCAACCUUGAAUAUGGGAGUGAUGAAUCUAAACUAUUGGAUUAUAAGA